UGGGGAAUCUUAGACAAUGGGGGCAACCCUGAUCUAGCCAUGCCGCGUGAGUGAUGAAGGCCUUAGGGUUGUAAAGCUCUUUCAGCUGGGAAGAUAAUGACGGUACCAGCAGAAGAAGCCCCGGCUAACUCCGUGCCAGCAGCCGCGGUAAUACGGAGGGGGCUAGCGUUGUUCGGAAUUACUGGGCGUAAAGCGCACGUAGGCGGACUGGAAAGUUGGGGGUGAAAUCCCGGGGCUCGACCUCGGAACUGCCUUCAAAACUAUCAGUCUGGAGUUCGAGAGAGGUGAGUGGAAUUCCGAGUGUAGAGGUGAAAUUCGUAGAUAUUCGGAGGAACACCAGUGGCGAAGGCGGCUCACUGGCUCGAUACUGACGCUGAGGUGCGAAAGCGUGGGGAGCAAACA
rnacentral:rRNA from 1 species